UUUACUGAAGUUCUUGACUCUCCACAUUGAAGUGUAAACAAGGUCAUAGAGUAAAGGACUCCUUUCCCUAGCUGAUAUCCUCCUUAAAUAUCCCUACUUUUUAAAUCCUGCCUCAUCACAAUUACACUUUAUUCCUGUGCCCAUCCAACCACACCCAGGAAUGGUUCAUGGAAACCACAUUUCACCAGAGGCUGGAGAAAUGGCUCGGCAGUCUAGCAGACUAUUGUUCUUGCUCAAGAGUGGGGUUCAGUUCCCAGCACCCAUGUGGUGGCUCACAACCACCCUAACUCCAGUUCCAGAGGAUCUGAACCCUCUUCGGACCUCUGAAGACACCAGGCAUGCAGAAUUCGUCUUCCAGCUCUAAUGCUACUCUUGGGCUCCCAGUCAUAGGAAACAGCCUUCCCUUAGCCCAAG